AGUGAACGCUGGCGGUAGGCCUAACACAUGCAAGUCGAACGGCAGCACAGUAAGAGCUUGCUCUUACGGGUGGCGAGUGGCGGACGGGUGAGGAAUACAUCGGAAUCUACUUUUUCGUGGGGGAUAACGUAGGGAAACUUACGCUAAUACCGCAUACGACCUACGGGUGAAAGCAGGGGAUCUUCGGACCUUGCGCGAUUGAAUGAGCCGAUGUCGGGUUAGCUAGUUGGCGGGGUAAAGGCCCACCAAGGCGACGAUCCGUAGCUGGUCUGAGAGGAUGAUCAGCCACACUGGAACUGAGACACGGUCCAGACUCCUACGGGAGGCAGCAGUGGGGAAUAUUGGACAACGGGCGCAAGCCUGAUCCAGCCAUACCGCGUGAGUGAAGAAGGCCUUCGGGUUGUAAAGCCCUUUUGUUGGGAAAGAAAAGCAGCAGGUGAAUACCCCGCUGUUCUGACGGUACCCAAAGAAUAAGCACCGGCUAACUUCGUG
rnacentral:rRNA from 1 species